UACGUAGGGUGCGAGCGUUAAUCGGAAUUACUGGGCGUAAAGCGUGCGCAGGCGGUCUUGCAAGACAGAUGUGAAAUCCCCGGGCUCAACCUGGGAACUGCAUUUGUGACUGCAAGGCUAGAGUACGGUAGAGGGGGAUGGAAUUCCGCGUGUAGCAGUGAAAUGCGUAGAUAUGCGGAGGAACACCGAUGGCGAAGGCAAUCCCCUGGACCUGUACUGACGCUCAUGCACGAAAGCGUGGGGAGCAAACAGG
rnacentral:rRNA from 1 species